rnacentral:rRNA from 1 species
CAGUCGCCACGGGAAUACGGAGGGGGCUAGCGUUGUUCGGAAUUACCGGGCGUAAAGCGCACGUAGGCGGCUUGGUAAGUUAGAGGUGAAAGCCUGGAGCUCAACUCCAGAAUUGCCUUUAAGACUGCCGAGCUAGCAGGUGAGAGAGGUAAGUGGAAUUCCGAGUGUAGAGGUGAAAUUCGUAGAUAUUCGGAAGAACACCAGUGGCGAAGGCGGCUUACUGGCUCAUACUGGACGCUGAGGUGCGAAAGCGUGUGGAGCAAACAGGAUUAGAUACCCCAGUAGUCCCUGUCUCUUAUAA